UACGUAGGUGGCAAGCGUUGUCCGGAUUUACUGGGCGUAAAGGGCGUGCAGGCGGUUUGGUAAGUGGCGGGUGAAAGCUCCCGGCUCAACUGGGAGAGGUCCUUGCAUACUGGCAAACUCGAGGGAGGCAGAGGAAAGUGGAAUUCCCGGUGUAGUGGUGAUAUGCGUAGAUAUCGGGAGGAACACCUGUGGCGAAGGCGGCUUUCUGGGCCUUACCUGACGCUGAGACGCGAAAGCGUGGGGAGCGAACCGG
rnacentral:rRNA from 1 species